rnacentral:rRNA from 1 species
CGCCGUUGUUGUUGUGAGAAGUUCAUUAAACCUUAUCAUUUAGAGGAAGGAGAAGUCGUAACAAGGUUUCCGUAGGUGAACCUGCGGAAGGAUCAUUGAACACACGAUCUCGGAAAAACUCUGCGAACCGUUUUCAAGUACCCCGAGGGACCGUGUCCGGAGACACGGUCUUCGAUGUCGGAGUCCGGAUUCAUGUGCGUCCGCCGUGAUCCUCCCCGUUGGUGCGCGGCGGGAUUCAGAGUGACUCCAGUGGCAUCGUCGGACCGCCCCCCAGCACGCACGAUCUCGAGCUCCCGGCUUCGGGAGCUUCGGGAUCCGGGGGCUCACGGUCCCCUCCUCCGCGGGAGGGGGGAGUCCCGACCCGGAGUCUCUCCUCUGCUCCAGGGCAGAGCGACUUCCGAGUCGGAGCGCUUCCUUCUCCCUCGGGGCCCUUUUUUUCUCCUUCUCUCCCGAGAGAAAGAAACCCGGUGAAACAAGAUUUUGGAUGGAUCGAUCUGAGGAGGGCUCGCGAUCGCCCCGGCGGUCUCGGGUCCUCCCAGCGAAACUGCGAAACACAAAAUGACUCUCAGCAACGGAUAUCUUGGCUCUUGCAACGAUGAAGAACGCAGCGAAAUGCGAUACCUAGUGUGAAUUGCAGAAUUCCGCGAAUCAUCGAGUUUUUGAACGCAAGUUGCGCCCGAGGCUCGUCUGAGGGCAUGCCUGCCUGAGCGUCCGCUCCGACCCACCCACCAGCCAUCCUCUCCCCGAAACGGGAGUCGGAAGGCGAAGGCGAGAGUGGAACUGGUCGUCCGGGGACCCGACCGUCUCCACGAGACGAUCCGAGGAUUCCGUGGUCGGCUGAAAAGUGCGAGCCGUCCGUCAAGCGCGCGCCGGGGGCCACGGUGCGUAGCGAGAAGGUGGCGUUGGCCUCUCGAUCGCCCUGCUGCGGUCGGAGGCAAACGUUGGUGACAAAGCUGCGCGCCUCCCCCUGCGGAGUCGGGACUUUGACGGAUCGGUGGGAUUUUGGAACAUGGGAGCGGGAGAGGCUCGGGAUGCCCUCUCUCUCCGUCCGCGGCCUCUCUCCCCUCGGGAGAGUCGUGUCAGGAUGUGAGAAAGGGAGAUUCCGGGUCCGAACGCUGCGUUGCUCGGACCUCAGAUCAGGCAAGACCACCCGCUGAGUUUAAGCAUAUCACUAAGCGGAGGAAAAGAAACUAACAAGGAUUUCCCUAGUAACGGCGAGCGAACCGGAAGUAGCCCA